rnacentral:rRNA from 1 species
UGGGGAAUUUUGGACAAUGGGCGAAAGCCUGAUCCAGCAAUGCCGCGUGUGUGAAGAAGGCCUUCGGGUUGUAAAGCACUUUUGCUCCGGAAAGAAAUCCUUGGCUCUAAUACAGUCGGGGGAUGACGGUACCGGAAGAAUAAGCACCGGCUAACUACGUGCCAGCAGCCGCGGUAAUACGUAGGGUGCAAGCGUUAAUCGGAAUUACUGGGCGUAAAGCGUGCGCAGGCGGUUUGCUAAGACCGAUGUGAAAUCCCCGGGCUCAACCUGGGAACUGCAUUGGUGACUGGCAGGCUAGAGUAUGGCAGAGGGGGGUAGAAUUCCACGUGUAGCAGUGAAAUGCGUAGAGAUGUGGAGGAAUACCGAUGGCGAAGGCAGCCCCCUGGGCCAAUACUGACGCUCAUGCACGAAAGCGUGGGGAGCAAAACAGGAUUAGAUACCCUGGUAGUCCACGCCCUAAACGAUGUCAACUAGUUGUUGGGGAUUCAUUUCCUUAGUAACGUAGCUAACGCGUGAAGUUGACCGCCUGGGGAGUACGGUCGCAAGAUUAAAACUCAAAUGAAUUGACGGGGUCAUAGCUGUUUCCU